UACGUAGGUGGCAAGCGUUGUCCGGAUUUACUGGGUGUAAGGGGCGUGUAGCCGGGCUGACAAGUCAGAUGUGAAAUCCGGGGGCUCAACCCCCGAACUGCAUUUGAAACUGUUGGUCUUGAGUAUCGGAGAGGCAGGCGGAAUUCCUAGUGUAGCGGUGAAAUGCGUAGAUAUUAGGAGGAACACCAGUGGCGAAGGCGGCCUGCUGGACGACAACUGACGGUGAGGCGCGAAAGCGUGGGGAGCAAACAGG
rnacentral:rRNA from 1 species